UACCAGCACCCCGAGUGGUCGGGACGUUAUUGGGCCUAAAGCAUCCGUAGCCGGUUCUACAAGUCUUCCGUUAAAUCCACCUGCUUAACAGAUGGGCUGCGGAAGAUACUAUAGAGCUAGGAGGCGGGAGAGGCAAGCGGUACUCGAUGGGUAGGGGUAAAAUCCGUUGAUCUACUGAAGACCACCAGUGGCGAAGGCGUUUGCCAGAACGCGCUCGGACGGUGAGGGAUGAAAGCUGGGGGAG
rnacentral:rRNA from 1 species